AUACAUGCAAGUCGAGCGAACAGACGAGGAGCUUGCUCCUCUGACGUUAGCGGCGGACGGGUGAGUAACACGUGGAUAACCUACCUAUAAGACUGGGAUAACUUCGGGAAACCGGAGCUAAUACCGGAUAAUAUAUUGAACCGCAUGGUUCAAUAGUGAAAGACGGUUUUGCUGUCACUUAUAGAUGGAUCCGCGCCGCAUUAGCUAGUUGGUAAGGUAACGGCUUACCAAGGCAACGAUGCGUAGCCGACCUGAGAGGGUGAUCGGCCACACUGGAACUGAGACACGGUCCAGACUCCUACGGGAGGCAGCAGUAGGGAAUCUUCCGCAAUGGGCGAAAGCCUGACGGAGCAACGCCGCGUGAGUGAUGAAGGUCUUCGGAUCGUAAAACUCUGUUAUUAGGGAAGAACAAAUGUGUAAGUAACUAUGCACGUCUUGACGGUACCUAAUCAGAAAGCCACGGCUAACUACGUGCCAGCAGCCGCGGUAAUACGUAGGUGGCAAGCGUUAUCCGGAAUUAUUGGGCGUAAAGCGCGCGUAGGCGGUUUUUUAAGUCUGAUGUGAAAGCCCACGGCUCAACCGUGGAGGGUCAUUGGAAACUGGAAAACUUGAGUGCAGAAGAGGAAAGUGGAAUUCCAUGUGUAGCGGUGAAAUGCGCAGAGAUAUGGAGGAACACCAGUGGCGAAGGCGACUUUCUGGUCUGUAACUGACGCUGAUG
rnacentral:rRNA from 1 species